rnacentral:rRNA from 1 species
GAUGAACGCUGGCUACAGGCUUAACACAUGCAAGUCGAGGGGAAACGACGGGGAAGCUUGCUUCCCCGGGCGUCGACCGGCGCACGGGUGAGUAACGCGUAUCCAACCUGCCUCUGACUGAGGGAUAACCCGUCGAAAGUCGGCCUAAUACCUCAUGGCAUCGUCUGCGGGCAUCCAACGACAAUUAAAGAUUUCAUCGGUCAGAGAUGGGGAUGCGUCUGAUUAGCUUGUUGGCGGGGUAACGGCCCACCAAGGCGACGAUCAGUAGGGGUUCUGAGAGGAAGGUCCCCCACAUUGGAACUGGGACACCGUCCAAACUCCUACGGGAGGCAGCAGUGAGGAAUAUUGGUCAAUGGGCGAGAGCCUGAUCCAGCCAAGUAGCGUGCAGGAUGACGGCCCUAUGGGUGGUAAACUGCUUUUAUGCGGGGAUAAAGUGAGGGACGUGUCCUUCAUUGCAGGUACCGCAUGAAUAAGGACCGGCUAAUUCCGUG